AAAUACAUGGAAAUAUAAAUAAAGAAUUGUAUAACCGAUAUUUAAUUAUUUAUAAUUUUAUAGAAAAAAGUAAUUCUAAAUUAUUUAUAUAAUCCUUUUACUUGGUCUCAAAAUAAGGGGUGGUGGAUCGUCUUUAUGUUUUUAGGACUAAUUUCUAAAUUGGGUAGAACCCUAAUCUUUCUCUCCUCCUAUUAAUCUUAAAGUGCCACCACCAUCCACCGAUAGAGAACCACACUAAGACAACCAUCAAACAAUCUCAUCCCCACUUCGCUCCGGUGAAACCACCACAAACAACAACCAAACAACUCAUUUCUUUCUCUUCUUUCUCCAACACACCAGCAAUAAGAAGCCACGAACUCCGAAGAAUCGGCGAGCUCAAAGAAGCGAAUCAGAUUUGACCACAAAUCAAAGCAAAUCAGCACACAACAACGAAGUAAACUAACACCAUCGACGACAUCUCCUGAAAUGGUAACGAGCUCUCACUUUUAAAUCUGAUUAAAAUAAAUGCUUUUUUAUUAUUAUUGUUUUUGCUCUUUUUUCCUCUAUUUUAUUUGCAUUUCAAGUAGUCUUUUAUCUUAUUUCAGAUCUGGCUGAGAGGAUGUAGCUCUGGCCGAAAACAUGUUUGCCUUUAUAUUCAUAUCAAAUUAAUUAUAAGCAAUUAUCAUAUUUUUGGUCAAUGAAAAAAAAAAUCCCUUUUAAGUUCAUGGACAUUAUAAAUGAGAUUUUUUUUAAAAUAUCAAUAUUUUAACAUUAAAAGGGUUCAUUAACAACACUUUCAAUAUUUAGUAAAAAUAUCAAAAUUUAAGUUUGUUAUUUAUCUUAUUUAUGUUCUUAUUAUUUGUUUUAUUUUUAAAAAGUAUAAUUUUUAUAUAACAAAUUUAGAGAAAUUUCGGGGAGAUAAUUAUUUUUUAAAAGGAACAAAUGUUAAAAGUCUCAUAAGUUACAAUUUAUCGAAAUAUACCAGCUUUCAUCUUUUUUUUUCCAUCAUGUUAUACAAAACCCUUUUUUUCUCUAUUGUUCUAAAAAAAUUCAAUAUCCAAUUUUCUUAAUCUUUUUUUUGCUUCUAAACACUUUUAUUAAUCAAAAUAAAUAUCCAAUUUUCACUAAUUAUUGUUAGAAAAAUCACGAGAUUAAUAAAGUACCACAUCUAUAAAAUUUCAAUCUUAAUUUUCACUAAUUAUUGUUAUGAAAAUCAUAAUAAAAAAAUAUCUCAUUCUCACUAAUUAUUAUUAUGAAAUUUUAUAAUAAUACAUUAUAGUUUUAUCUAUUAAAUUUAAAUUUUUUUAAUUUAGAAACUUGAACAUCUAUAGUUUUAUCUGUAUUUGGCAUACUGUCUCACAGUGUAUUUGUUUUAUUUUUUGAAAUUUUGUAUCCUUUCUUAAAGUAUUUAUUCCAAUAUGUAUACCGUUUGUAUUAGUAUCCAUUCUAGUUUUUAUGUUGUCUUUUGUAUAAUGAAGCUUGUAUUUCUUUAUUAGUUUGUAUUCACUCCAAUAUAUAUAUAUAUAUAUAUAUAUAUAUAUAUUAUAUUAUGUAUAUAUAUAUGUAUAUAUAUAUCAAAUAAAAU
rnacentral:lncRNA from 1 species